CCUACGGGAGGCAGCAGUGGGGAAUAUUGGACAAUGGGCGAAAGCCUGAUCCAGCAAUGCCGCGUGAGUGAUGAAGGCCUUAGGGUCGUAAAGCUCUUUUACCAGGGAUGAUAAUGACAGUACCUGGAGAAUAAGCUCCGGCUAACUCCGUGCCAGCAGCCGCGGUAAUACGGAGGGAGCUAGCGUUGUUCGGAAUUACUGGGCGUAAAGCGUGCGUAGGCGGUUAUUCAAGUCAGAGGUGAAAGCCCGGGCGUCAACCCCGGAACGGCCUUUGAAACUAGAUAACUAGAAUCUUGGAGAGGUCAGUGGAAUUCCGAGUGUAGAGGUGAAAUUCGUAGAUAUUCGGAAGAACACCAGUGGCGAAGGCGACUGACUGGACAAGUAUUGACGCUGAGGUACGAAAGCGUGGGGAGCAAACAGGAUUAGAUACCCUGGUAGUCCACGCCGUAAACGAUGAUAACUAGCUGUCCGGACACUUGGUGUUUGGGGUGGCCGCAGCUACGACAUUAAGUUAUUACCGUCCGUCGGGUAGGUACGGUCGCGAGAAUAAACUAACAAGAAGUAGUACGCGNGAGACGAGCGACGACGACGACGAGGAGGAGG
rnacentral:rRNA from 1 species